UACGAAGGGGGGCUAGCGUUGUUCGGAAUUACUGGGCGUAAAGCGCACGUAGGCGGCUUUCUAAGUCGGGGGUGAAAUCCUGGAGCUCAACUCCAGAACUGCCUUCGAUACUGGAGAGCUCGAGUCCGGGAGAGGUGAGUGGAACUGCGAGUGUAGAGGUGAAAUUCGUAGAUAUUCGCAAGAACACCAGUGGCGAAGGCGGCUCACUGGCCCGGUACUGACGCUGAGGUGCGAAAGCGUGGGGAGCAAACAGG
rnacentral:rRNA from 1 species